AGAGUGGGUCCGGCGGUCGCCGGGCGAAUAGCCCGGAGGAAAGUCCGAGCAGGGCAGGGCACGGUGGUGGCUAACGGCCACCCGGGGCGACCCGAGGGAAAGUGCCACAGAAAACACACAGCCGAUGGCCUUCGGGCACAGGCAAUGGUGAAAAGGUGCGGUAAGAGCGCACCGCGGCGCCGGCGACGGCGUCGGCAGGGUAAACCCCACCGCCUGCAAGACCAAGCAUGCCGGUUGGCGCUUCGGCUCCUCUGUUCGGCCCGAACAGCUACCGGCGGGUAGGUUGCUUCCUCUUCGGGGGAGAGCCGGCCGGCAACGGUCGGUCAAGUGUAAUGACCGCCCACCGCUUCGGCGGUGAACAGAACUCGGCUUACGGACCCGCUCUUAUA
rnacentral:RNase_P_RNA from 1 species